rnacentral:rRNA from 1 species
AACGAACGCUGGCGGCAGGCCUAACACAUGCAAGUCGAACGAAGUCUUCGGACUUAGUGGCGCACGGGUGAGUAACACGUGGGAAUAUACCUUACGCUGGGGGAUAACAUCGGGAAACUGAUGCUAAUACCGCAUACGCCCUUCGGGGGAAAGAUUUAUCGGCGAAAGAUUAGCCCGCGUCCGAUUAGCUAGUUGGUGAGGUAAUGGCUCACCAAGGCUCCGAUCGGUAGCUGGUCUGAGAGGAUGACCAGCCACACUGGGACUGAGACACGGCCCAGACUCCUACGGGAGGCAGCAGUGGGGAAUAUUGGAAAAUGGGCGCAAGCCUGAUCCAGCCAUGCCGCGUGAGUGAUGAAGGCCUUAGGGUUGUAAAGCUCUUUCAACCACGACGAUGAUGACGGUAGUGGGAGAAGAAGCCCCGGCUAACUUCGUG